UAGGUAGAGGUCGCGUGUUUCAAGAUUAGGCGGUCGGAUGUGUCAGGCACAGACGAAGGCCGCUGAAAGGGGAAGACGCCGAAAGGGUCAGAGGCCUGGAUUCUGAUUCUUGGGCAUGGGCUGAAGAAGUUCAUGACUGUCAUCGAAAGAUGGAGAGCUAUCUGA
rnacentral:ncRNA from 1 species